rnacentral:tRNA from 1 species
GCCUAGGUAGUGCAAUGGGUCAGCACGGCAGACCCGAUAUCUGUGAGUGCGGGUUCGAGCCCCGCCUGAGGGU